rnacentral:rRNA from 1 species
AUGGAGGGGCUCGACGUCGACGACGUCUUCCACCACUACCGGCUGAGCCCUACGGAAGUGGACGCCGUCACCUACUACCUGCCACGCCUCCUCUCCGGCGAGACGCUGCAUGCCGCCGACAAGCUCAUCCACCGCGUCGAAAUCUCCGGCUGCGAGCCCAAGGAUCUGGCCGCCCGGUACGCGCCCGUGCCGCAGGCCGUGAGCAGCGGCGACCGGUUCUUCUUCACCACGUGCAAGAGCAAGAACGGGAGCAAGCUCCAGAGCGUGCGCGGCGCCGGCACCGGCACCUGGACCAUCCAGAAGACCACCGAGAUUUGCCACGCGGGAGUCAAGGUGGGCGAGGUCAAGAACCUGUCUUUCAAGAAGAAGGGAAAGUCCACUGGCUGGGUCAUGGAGGAAUACCGAUGCCUGCUGCCGGAGGCCACCGUCAGCGACGGGGUCAAGGUGUUCUGCAGAAUGCACUUGGCUCAGCAUGCUCCUGACGCGGCCCGCCAGGAAUCGGCCGCGUACAAGCUUCAGCAACAGCAACCAGAGGCUGUGACCCCGUGCACGCACGCGCAGAAGAGGCCAGCGCCCGCCGCCGCCGCCGAUCCUCAUCCGCCGCGCCCGGAGAAGAGGAUGCGCGGUGCCGUCCCGGUCCCGGCACCUGCCACACCGUCGUUCUUGAUGUAUGAUGAGGUAGCCAGAGCAUCAUCCGAGUCCACUACAGUAUCCAACCACUCUGACGUUGCUCAAGCUCCUGAGAUUUCCUCCCGGUCACAUGUGCUGGAGUCUGUCAAGCAUUACAGCCAACAACAGAUUGUUCCCGAGGCUGGCUCAAGCAUUGCAAGGAGCUCAUCUGAAGAGGAUGUCUUUGAGCCAUUGGAGCCUAUUUCCAAUUUGCCGGAUGGGGAGGCAGAUGGUUUUGAUAUCGAGGCAGAUGGUUUUGAUCUUGAAGAACUAAUGAGAAUGAUGGAAGACGACCCAAUUGAACUUGAGCCGAUCACUGUAGCCAACACUGGCAUGGAGAUGGGCCAACAGGAACCUCUGUACCUGGAUGCCUUGGACCAAGGCGUGCUGGAGGGCAUGCUGCAGUCCGAUGACCCUUACCCAAUGUGGAGAUCAGAGGAUCGGGCCAUGCACAACCCUGCCUUCCAUGAUGCUGACAAUGAGAAGAGGUACAAUGCUGCGUCGGAUCUUGACGCUCCAUCGCUACAGGGACAGGACCACUUGUCCAAACCGCGGCCGUGCUCCUUCGAUCCAUUUGAAGAAGCGUGGAAGGCCGAAGAGGCGCUCGAGAAGGAGAAGAGGUGCAAUGCCGCGGCCAAUCUUCACGCUGGAGGGCACAGCAACUUCUUCUCGCCUGCAAGUGUCUAUUAA